AACAGCAGAAAAAAAAGAAAAAAAAACACACAAUGUGACAUCGCUUUAAACCAUCACGCAAGGAUUAAACUGACAGCAUUAGCGCUUUUUAUUAGUUUAAAAAACAAAAAAGAAGUCCUCAAAUUUGGAAACCACUCCCAAAUUUUCUAAAUGUUUAACAAAAAAAGU